CCAGGCUGAGGCCCCACCAGCAUGGAUCAGCACAGCUCCUUGGGUGUGUAACUGGAGUCUCUUCUGAUUGUCUGGUGCCUGUGUCAUUCCAGUUGUUCAGGGUUUGGAUACCAAUUCUGGGGAACUAAACCUCUGAGAGCUAAACUGGUGGAAUAUAACACAGAAAUGGAUGCAACGAGCUAUCUGCAGAAACAACCCCCAAGAGUUCUCGUAAAGAUGGAGGAAGAAGCCACAGGCCAAGAACGCUGCUGGCCUCCAGCAGCUGGAAAAGGCAAGGAAACAGAUUCUCCCCUAAGUCCUCCGGAAGCAACGCAGCCCUGCUGACACCUCGAUUUCGGCCUGGAAGCUUGUCUGCUGGAGUCCUCCUCCAACCGUUCUCUGCUCCUUCCAAUGAGAUCAUUGUUUUGCUAACAAGUUUUGGGGUGGAAAAGAGUUCUGUGAAUUUGUUCCAGAAUAGAUAGUGUCAAUUUAACUGAGGCUCGCUCUUUGAUUAUGGAGUUGUCCCUCAACCUGAAACAAAACCAACUUCCCCGUUCGACCAUAUCCCUCUUCUCGCCUCUCUUUUA
rnacentral:lncRNA from 1 species